CAAUAAUGUGUUUUCUGGGAGGCAACCUUCAGUACACCGAUAUUGAGGUCUACCAUAUCACGGAGCCAACAGGCAUGCCCUCUGCUUCUAUCGAUGGUGCCUGGCGCAAAUUUGGACAAGUAAAUCGCGAGAUGUGCUUUGUCUUACAUUGAACGAUUUACACCACCGGAAGACAGCA